rnacentral:rRNA from 1 species
AUUGAACGCUGGCGGCAGGCCUAACACAUGCAAGUCGAACGAGCGGCGGACGGGUGAGUAAUGUCUGGGAAACUGCCUGAUGGAGGGGGAUAACUACUGGAAACAGUAGCUAAUACCGCAUACCCUCAGAUGUGCCCAGAUGGGAUUAGCUAGUUGGUGGGGUAAUGGCUCACCUAGGCGACGAUCCCUGGCUGGUCUGAGAGGAUGACAAGCCCCCCUGCAACUGAGACACGGUCCAGACUCCUACGGGAGGCAGCAGUGGGGAAUAUUGCACAAUGGGCGCAAGCCUGAUGCAGCCAUGCCGCGUGUGUGAAGAAGGCCUUCGGGUUGUAAAGCUCUUUCAGCGAGGAGGCGUUACUCGCAGAAGAAGCACCGGCUAACUCCGUGCCAGCAGCCGCGGUAAUUC